rnacentral:rRNA from 1 species
AACGAACGCUGGCGGCAUGCCUAACACAUGCAAGUCGAACGAGACCUUCGGGUCUAGUGGCGCCCGGGUGCGUAACGCGUGGGAACCUGCCCUUAGGUUCGGAAUAACUCCCCGAAAGGGGUGCUAAUACCGGAUAAUGUCUUCGGACCAAAGAUUUAUCGCCUUUGGAUGGGCCCGCGUUGGAUUAGCUCGUUGGUAGGGUAAAAGCCUACCAAGGCGACGAUCCAUAGCUGGUCUGAGAGGAUGAUCAGCCACACUGGGACUGAGACACGGCCCAGACUCCUACGGGAGGCAGCAGUGGGGAAUAUUGGACAAUGGGCGAAAGCCUGAUCCAGCAAGGCCGCGUGAGUGAUGAAGUCCUUAGGGUUGUAAAGCUCUUUUACCCGGGAUGAUAAUGACAGUACCGGGAGAAUAAGCUCCGGCUAACUCCGUG